GUUGUACAGAAUGCUGGUGCGGCUCUGGUCAGGGGACUUGGUGAGCAAUUUGGUCUGGGGAGGGGCGUCUUUAGGGGGAUCGAGCAUGGUGUCGAAGAUCUUAGACCUAGCUUCCCACAGAGCGUUGGUGACAGGGGAAUGGUACAUUCCAGGCCAGAGAGCGAUGGGUUUGCGGGCGGAAGCGGAGCCGCCGCCGCCAUUGGAGGUGUCGAAAGGAUUGGC
rnacentral:lncRNA from 1 species